UACGAAGGGGGCUAGCGUUGCUCGGAAUCACUGGGCGUAAAGGGUGCGUAGGCGGGUCUUUAAGUCAGGGGUGAAAUCCCGGAGCUCAACUCCGGAACUGCCUUUGAUACUGGGUGUCUUGAGUGUGGAGGAGGUGAGUGGAAUUCCGAGUGUAGAGGUGAAAUUCGUAGAUAUUCGGAGGAACACCAGUGGCGAAGGCGGCUCACUGGUCCAUUACUGACGCUGAGGUGCGAAAGCGUGGGGAGCAAACAGG
rnacentral:rRNA from 1 species